rnacentral:rRNA from 1 species
UACGUAGGUGGCAAGCGUUACUCGGAAUCACUAGGCGUAAAGCGCAGGUAGGAGGUUCGAUAAGUCUGUUGUGAAAGCUCCCGGCUUAACUGGGAGAGGUCAACGGAAACUGUCGAGCUAGAGUGCGGUAGAGGUAGCUGGAAUUCCCGGUGUAGCGGUGAAAUGCGUAGAUAUCGAGAGGAACACCAGAGGUGAAGACGGGUUGCUGGGCUGACACUGACGGCUGAGGCGACGAAAGCCCAGGGGAGCAAACGGG